GUGAGUCAUCGAAUCUUUGAACGCACCUUGCGCCCCUUGGUAUUCCGAGGGGCAUGCCUGUUUGAGUGUCUUGAAAUCAUCAAACCGAACCGGUUCUUUGCGGCCGGGUGCGGUUUGGACUUGGGGGUUUCCUUGCUGCCGCUCGCGGUGGCUCCCCUUAAAUUCAUCGGUCGGGCUUUCGUGCGGCUCUGUCCCUUGGCGUUGUAUUACCCUCGUCGCUGGACUGCUCGCGAUACAGCGCCCUUCUUCGACCUGCCUCUGGAGCGGCGGUCUAUGACUUUUUGUGAUCUGACCUCAAAUCAGGUAGGACUACCCGCUGAACUUAAGCAUAUCAAUAAGCGGAGGA
rnacentral:misc_RNA from 1 species